rnacentral:rRNA from 1 species
GACGGAGGAUGCAAGCGUUAUCCGGAAUUAUUGGGCGUAAAGCGUCCGCAGGUGGACAUACAAGUCUGCUGUCAAAGUGCAGAGCUUAACUCUGUAAAGGCGGUGGAAACUGUAGGUCUUGAGUAUGGUAGGGGUAGAGGGAAUUCCCGGUGUAGCGGUGAAAUGCGUAGAUAUCCGGAGGAACACCAGUGGCGAAAGCGGCCACCUGGACUGCACCUGACGCUGACACGCGAAAGCUAGGGGAGCGAACGGG